GCGGGUGUAGCUCAAUGGUAGAGCCCCAGCCUUCCAAGCUGAUGAUGGGGGUUCGAUUCCCCUCACCCGCU
rnacentral:tRNA from 1 species